GACGAACGCUGGCGGCGUGCCUAAUACAUGCAAGUCGAGCGGACAGAAGGGAGCUUGCUCCCGGAAGUUAGCGGCGGACGGGUGAGUAACACGUGGGCAACCUACCCUGUAGAUCGGGAUAACAUCGAGAAAUCGGUGCUAAUACCGGAUAAUCAUUUGAAGUGCAUGCUUCGAAUGUAAAAGAUGGCUCCGGCUAUCGCUACGGGAUGGGCCCGCGGCGCAUUAGCUAGUUGGUAAGGUAAUGGCUUACCAAGGCAACGAUGCGUAGCCGACCUGAGAGGGUGAUCGGCCACACUGGGACGGAGACACGGACCAGACUCCUACGGGAGGCAGCAGUAGGGAAUCUUCCGCAAUGGACGAAAGUCUGACGGAGCAACGCCGCGUGAGUGAUGAAGGUUUUCGGAUCGUAAAGCUCUGUUGUUAGGGAAGAACAAGUGCCGUUUGAAUAAGGCGGCACCUUGACGGUACCUAACCAGAAAGCCACGGCUAACUACGUGCCAGCCGCCGCCGUAACAC
rnacentral:rRNA from 1 species